GUCAACUUUUUAAUGGUUUACAUAUGAACCCAUAAGAAACAAAAUUGAAAAAUCUCAACCGUUUUCUUCCAUUUUUUAUGAGUGAAAACGUCAAAAAUCAUCAUUUUCGUCUUUGUUUACAUUUUUUCAUUGAUCACCAGCACCCGUCAGGACCGAAUCACCAGCACAGUACGUUCUCUCGCAGGACAACCAUACCCACCG
rnacentral:lncRNA from 1 species